GUGGGGAAUCUUGCGCAAUGGGCGAAAGCCUGACGCAGCCAUGCCGCGUGGAUGAUGAAGGUCUUAGGAUUGUAAAAUCCUUUCACCGGUGAAGAUAAUGACUGUAGCCGGAGAAGAAGCCCCGGCUAACUUCGUGCCAGCAGCCGCGGUAAUACGAAGGGGGCUAGCGUUGCUCGGAAUUACUGGGCGUAAAGGGAGCGUAGGCGGACAUUUAAGUCAGGGGUGAAAUCCCGAGGCUCAACCUCGGAACUGCCUUUGAUACUGGGUGUCUUGAGUAUGAGAGAGGUGUGUGGAACUCCGAGUGUAGAGGUGAAAUUCGUAGAUAUUCGGAAGAACACCAGUGGCGAAGGCGACACACUGGCUCAUUACUGACGCUGAGGCGCGAAAGCGUGGGGAGCAAACAGGAUUAGAAACCCUUGUAGUCC
rnacentral:rRNA from 1 species